rnacentral:rRNA from 1 species
GGANUGGAAAUGGGGGAACCCUGAUCCAGCCAUNCCGCGUGAGNGAUGAAGGCCCUAGGGUUGUAAAACUCUUUCGGCGGGGACGAUAAUGACGGUACCCGCAGAAGAAGCUCCGGCUAACUUCGUGCCAGCAGCCGCGGUAAUACGAAGGGGGCUAGCGUUGUUCGGAAUUACUGGGCGUAAAGCGCGCGCAGGCGGUCCUUCAAGUCAGAGGUGAAAGCCCAGAGCUCAACUCUGGAAUGGCCUUUGAGACUAGAGGACUUGGGUACGGGAGAGGUGAGUGGAAUUCCGAGUGUAGAGGUGAAAUUCGUAGAUAUUCGGAAGAACACCAGUGGCGAAGGCGGCUCACUGGCCCGUUACCGACGCUCAGGCGCGACAGCGUGGGGAGCAAACAGGAUUAGAUACCCUGGUAGUCCACGCCGUAAACGAUGGGUGCUAGGUGUGGGGAGUGUCGACUCUCUCUGUGCCGAAGCUAACGCAUUAAGCACCCCGCCUGGGGAGUACGGCCGCAAGGCUAAAACUCAAAAGAAUUGACGGA